GACGAACGCUGGCGGCGUGCUUAACACAUGCAAGUCGAACGGAAAGGCCCUGCUUUUGUGGGGUGCUCGAGUGGCGAACGGGUGAGUAACACGAGAGUAACCUGCCCUUGACUUUGGGAUAACUUCAGGAAACUGGGGCUAAUACUGGAUAGGAGCUCCUGCUGCCUGGUGGGGGUUGGAAAGUUUCGGCGGUUGGGGAUGGUCUCGCGGGUUAUCAGCUUGUUGGUGGGGUUGUGGCGGACCAAGGCUUUGACGGGUAGCCGGCCUGAGGGGGUGACCGGCGACAUAGGGACUGAGGUACGGUCCAGACUCCUACGGUAGGCAGCAGUGGGGAAUAUUGCAGAAUGAGCGGAAGCCUGAUGCAGCAACGCCGCGUGCGGAAUGACGGCCUUCGGGUUGUGAACCGCUUUCGCCUGUGACGAAGCGUGAGUGACGGUAAUGUGUAAAGAAGCACCGGCUAAAUACGUG
rnacentral:rRNA from 1 species